rnacentral:rRNA from 1 species
GUAGGGUGGCAAGCGUUGUCCGGAAUUAUUGGGCGUAAAGCGCGCGCAGGCGGUCCUUUAAGUCUGAUGUGAAAGCCCACGGCUCAACCGUGGAGGGUCAUUGGAAACUGGGGGACUUGAGUACAGAAGAGGAAAGCGGAAUUCCAAGUGUAGCGGUGAAAUGCGUAGAGAUUUGGGGGAACACCAGUGGCGAAGGCGGCUUUCUGGUCUGUAACUGACGCUGAGGCGCGAAAGCGUGGGGAGCAAACAGGAUUAGAUACCCUGGUAGUCCACGCCGUAAACGAUGAGUGCUAAGUGUUAGGGGGUUUCCGCCCCUUAGUGCUGCAGCUAACGCAUUAAGCACUCCGCCUGGGGAGUACGGCCGCAAGGCUG